rnacentral:rRNA from 1 species
AGAACGAACGCUGGCGGCAGGCCUCAAACAUGCAAGUCUAGGGGGCGUAGCAAUACGUCACCGGCGGACGGGUGCGUAACACGUGGGAAUGUACUUACUGGUUCGGAACAACUCAGGGGAAACUUGAGCUAAAUACCGAAUGUGCCCGAAAGGGGGAAAGAUUUAUCGCCAGUAAAUCAGCCCGCGUCCGAUUAGCUAGUUGGUGGGGUAAAGGCCCACCAAGGCGACGAUCGGUAGCUGUUCUGAGAGGAAGAUCAGCCACACUGGGACUGAGACACGGCCCAGACUCCUACGGGAGGCAGCAGUUGGGAAUCUUGGACAAUGGGGGAAACCCUGAUCCAGCCAUGCCGCGUGAGUGAUGAAGGCCUUCGGGUUGUAAACUCGUUUCGACGGGGACGAUAAUGACGGUACCCGUAGAAGAAGCUCCGGCUAACUCGUGCCAGCAGCCGC